AGUUAUUAAUGGCCGCGGUACUUUGACCGUGCUAAGGUAGCGCAAUCAAUUGGCUCUUAAAUGGGGUCAGGAAUGAAUGGAGUUUAACGUGGUUAAGCUGUCUCUUAACUAAUUAAUUGAAGUUACUAUGUAGGUGAAAAAGCCUAUUGUAAGAAAAAGGACGAGAAGACCCUUAGAGUUUUACUUAAUGUGAGAGAUACUAAAGUAUUCAUACUGGUUUUGUUGGGGCAACAUAGGAGCAAUAACUAUAAUCUCCUAAAUUAUAACACACCGAAAUUUAUAAAUCUGAAUAAACUACCUUAGGGAUAACAGCAUAAUUUAAAAAAUAAGUUUGUGACCUCGAUGUUGGACUAGGAAACUUAAAGGCUAGCCGUCUU
rnacentral:rRNA from 1 species